GACGAACGCUGGCGGCGUGCCUAAUACAUGCAAGUAGAACGCUGAAGGAGGAGCUUUCUUCUCUGGAUGAGUUGCGAACGGGUGAGUAACGCGUAUGUAACCUGCCUGGUAGCGGGGGAUAACUAUUGGAAACGAUAGCUAAUACCGCAUAAGAGUAGAUGUUGCAUGACAUUUGCUUAAAAAGUGCAAUUGCAUCACUACCAGAUGGACCUGCGUUGUAUUAGCUAGUUGGUGGGGUAACGGCUCACCAAGGCGACGAUACAUAGCCGACCUGAGGAGGGGAACCGCCAAACUGGGACGGAGACACGGCCCAGACUCCUACGGGAGGCAGCAGUAGGGAAUCUUCGGAAAUGGACGGAAGUCUGACCGAGCAACGCCGCGUGAGGGAAGAAGGUUGUCGGAUCGUAAAGCUCCGUUGUAAGAGAAGAAAGAGUGUGAGAGUGGAAAGUUCACACUGUGACGGUAUCUUACCAGAAAGGGACGGCUAACUACGUG
rnacentral:rRNA from 1 species